rnacentral:lncRNA from 1 species
GGAAGAUGCUGUGCCUCGAGGAUUAGUUUAAACAGGGGGCUAUAAAAGAUGUAACAGAUGCAAACUGUAACACAAGGGCCAUUAACCCUUUCUCUGCCGGGCACACUCAGUCCCCACGCCCCACACCUAUUGUCUCCUGUGCUAGAAGCUUUGCAGAAAACCUGGAAAUUUUGGCCAGAAAUGGUGAGAAGAAAAAGCAUGAAGAAGCCGCGAAGUGUGGGGGAGAAAAAGGUGGAAGCGAAGAAACAGCUCCCGGAGCAAACUGUACAAAAACCUCGCCAAGAGUGUCGGGAGGCAGGACCGUUAUUCCUGCAGAGCAGGAGAGAGACGAGAGACCCUGAAACACGCGCCACCUAUCUUUGUGGGGAGGGAUAAUUGAAGCGCCCUGAGCGUACCAGAGCCAGAAAAAAAAAUGCUGCAUGGGAGCUGCAUCUUAGGGCAUGUGUAUUAGGGUGUGUGCAUGAUGAAUUUCUGGACUGGAUCCCAAUAUUAAAAAGUAGUUUGGCAUUUUAAUAAAGGGUCUCUAAGUAAAUUAAAAUAGAACACUCGGUUGGCCGAUCUCUGAAUCUCUCUACACCUCGGGGAGACCUCACUACAAAGUAAGGGAGAGUGUGUAGGGAGGCAGGAGGAGAAACGAGAAAGGCCAUAGAGAAACUUAGCAGGGAAGGGAGAGCAUGAUAUUAAACGGCAUGGGGUCUAAGUUUUGGAGUAUAUAUUUUUUGAUAUUACAAUUAAAGUAAGAUUAAAAAGAAAAGACUCCACCUUUGCUCUGAAGGGAUUGGUUAUGCAAAUAUGGAAGGGAUUUCCUGGAGAAUACAGCUUUCUACUGUAUGGUUAAUUAAAUAAUCACUCAAAAGCUUCCAACGUGACGCUUCUGUCGUAAUCCAAUCAGGUUACAUAGGUCCUAAACAAGAAAGAUAUUUUCCACAUCUGGAAGUCAGCAAUUUAGCAAGUACUGCACAUUAUUAACCAAUUCAGAGCCCACUUCCCAGGGGAAUUUUUUUGAAGUUUAAGUGUUCUUAACCAAUGCUCUGCUGUUUUGUUAAUCAAAAAGCUGGUUUACACUGCACAUAAUUGGAACUAAUAUAGAAGUAAAUAAAGACAGCCAAAUUUGAGGAUGCUGAGCACAGGCAUUUAUCGGAAAAGGAAGAAAUCUCCUAUCCUCGGAUGGUUCAGGCUCAAUUUCUUAAAUAACUGUGAGACUUUUUUUUUUUUCCUAAAGAGUGAAAGUGCUUGAGAACCUCAGAGCACAAAUAAACUUCUAGCCUCACAGCAUUUAGGAUUCUUCGGAAAGGUAAAGGUGGAGGUGUUAAGAGGACCAGAGAGCUGCCUCACACCAAUUUUUAAGCUUUAAUAUUGUUAAAUAUGUUACACCCUCCUGUUUCCAGUCUGAUGAAAUCUGAAACAAAUAAUACCCUGAUCCAACACUAUAUUAAGAUAAACUGCUUUGAACUGUGCUUUGAAUGUGUGCCUAAAGCAAGACUUUGAAUGCAAGAGUCACUGGCAAUUGCACUCAAAGGAGGGACAAGCCACCACAUGGGUUGCCACAUCCACACUCCCAGAGAAAGCUUCACAUGUGAGAUAAAUGCACUCAAAGAUUCCUCACAAGUAGCUCUUUGGAGCUUCAGAUGUGAAAUGGAUCAUUCCUCAAUCUGUAAUAGACCCUUCUGUGAAGCUCUUCAAUCAAACCAGAGAAUUCAAGAGUUUCCAACACCUAAGAGUGGUAUUUGGCAAAUGGUGGGCCAAAGGAAUAAAGAAGGCAUGCAAAACUCUUGACAGAAGACAUUCAGAAAUUGAUUUGAUAUCAGAUACAAGGAGAAAAUAUGCCAGUAAGAAAAUGCAUUUUUCAAGAUUAAAUUCGGCAUUUGUUACUUAAUAGCAUUUGUCAUAUUCCAAUUUUUCAUAUGUAGUAAAUUCAUUUCAAAUCAUUUCGCUCUUCCAAGUGCCUUUGUGUAUUGUAUUUCUUUUUUCACAUCCUUUUGGAUAACAUUUGAGA